rnacentral:rRNA from 1 species
GGAUUNCCUUAGUAACGGCGAGUGAACCGGGAAGAGCCCAGCUUGAAAAUCUCCAGCCCCCGGCUGGCGAAUUGUAGUCUAGAGAAGCUGCCUCUGCGGAGCUCCGGGCCCAAGUCCCCUGGAAAGGGGCGUCARAGAGGGUGAGAACCCCGUUGGGCCCGGCCGACUCCGCCCCACGAGGCGCUUUCACAGAGUCGGGUUGUUUGGGAAUGCAGCCCUAANCAGGUGGUAAAUCCCAUCUAAGGCUAAAUACCGACGGGAGACCGAUAGCGAACAAGUACCGUGAGGGAAAGAUGAAAAGAACUUUGAAAAGAGAGUUAAAAAGUGCUUGAAAUUGUUGAGAGGGAAGCGAUUGGAGGCCACGGGUGCGCCCGGGCACACGCCUGCCCACCGGCAGGUUGAAUGCGCCGGGUGCUGGUCAGCAUGGGUUGGGAGGGCGGGAUAACACCGGGGGUUGCUACCCCGGCCAUGCCGCCCCCCCGACCGAGGAGUGAACGGCGCUCUCUGAGUCCUUCGGGAACUGCGUCG